GCAUGCUGGUGGCUGUGUGCCAUGCCCUGGAGAACACAACGUCAGCGCUGAGCGAUCCCCCAGUGGCAGCAGCCGUGCGGUCGCACUUCAAUGAGUGCCCCGACUCCCACCGGCAGUUCUGCUUCCAUGGGACGUGCCGCUUCCUGGUGCAGGAGGACAAGCCGGCGUGUGUGUGCCACUCAGGCUACGUGGGGACGCGCUGUGAGCACGCAGACCUGCUGGCCGUGGUGGCUGCCAACCAGAAGAAGCAGACAAUCACCGCGCUGCUGGUGGUGGCCGUGGUGGCCUCAGCGGUGCUCAUCGCAGCCUGCGUGCUCAUCCACUGCUGCCGGCUGCGGAAGCGCUGCGGGGGCUGCCGGGGGCCGCGCUGCGACUGGGGAUGUGGGGGUACCAUGGGGACAUAAUGGGGACAGGGGGACAUGGGGGCACCAUGGGGACACAGGGAUGCGUGGACACUGUGGGGAUGUGGGGACACUGUGGGGACAGAGGGAUGCGGGAACACUGGGGAUGUGGGGGUACCAUGGGGACAUAAUGGGGACAGGGGGACAUGGGGGCACCAUGGGGACACAGGGAUGCGUGGACACUGUGGGGAUGUGGGGACACUGUGGGGACAGAGGGAUGCGGGAACACUGGGGAUGUGGGGGUACCAUGGGGACAUAAUGGGGACAGGGGGACAUGGGGGCACCAUGGGGACACAGGGAUGUGGGGACACUAUGGGGACAUGGGGGCACUGUGGAGACAGAGGGAUGUGGGGGCACCAUGGGGAUACCAUGGGGAUGUGGGGACACUAUGGGGACGUGAGGACACUGUGGGGACAGGGGGACAUGGGGGCACUAUGGGGACAGAGGGACGUGGGGACAGGGGGAGGUGGGGGCUCCAUGGGGACACAGGGAUGUGGGGACACUAUGGGGACGUGAGGACACUGUGGGGACAGGGGGACAUGGGGGCACUAUGGGGACAGAGGGACGUGGGGACAGGGGGAGGUGGGGGCUCCAUGGGGACACA
rnacentral:lncRNA from 1 species